rnacentral:lncRNA from 1 species
CACAUCGCCAGGAACCGCCACUGCCGGGUUCACCCCGUGGGGCUCCCGCCCAGUCCGGCUCAACUCCCGCCACAGGAGGACGCGGCUGGGCGGCGGCGCGCCCUGCGGGAGCAGCUGGAGCAAAUGCAUCGGGAGAGGACGGAGCGGCUGCGGGCCCUCGGGGCCAGGAACACCCAGAACUUCCUGGAACUACUGUGUUCCCCUGGUGCUGAGGAUCCCGUGCCUGCGAAGUAGUGCUCGCCCUUCCCAGCACCCUCUGGUCAUUGCUGAGUCCUCAAAGGGAUGAUUAAAGUGAUGAGGGUUACGGAAAAAGCAAGAGGGCAACUUGCAGGUCUGAUAGUUUCAGAAAGGCCUGAAUGCAACCUCAGGGACAGGGAGAGCAGAGGGGCACAGACACACACAGCAGCUUUGCCCCACCAGGAGGCCUGUUAUUUCUUCUUCCCUCCCCUAAGCCCACACCUGGCCCACGGUCAGAGGGCCAGGUCUCGGGGAUCAAGCAGUGCGAAGGCCCCGUUCUUGCGGAAGAAUGACUCAAUGCGGCACAUCUUGCAGGAGACCAGUUCUUGCUUCACUGGGGGGCCUGGGAAAAGAUGUCAGAGGCCAAGCAUGGGUUCCUGAGGGAGGGACACGCAGAGCAUGGGAGCCCUGUCUGUCUGCACAGCCCUAGGAAUCCGU